CAUUAAAACACUGGUUCUUAUAUGAUCACCAAAGUUAAGCAAUGUCGAGCCUGGCCAGUACCUAGACGGGUGACCGCUUGGGAAUACCAGGGGCUGUAAG